rnacentral:rRNA from 1 species
ACGGGAGUGGCACGGCUGGGUAGCUAAGUUCGGAACGGAUAAGCGCUGAAUGCAUCUAAGCGCGAAGCCUUCUCCAAGACGAGUCAUCCCUAUCAGUCCCCUGGAAGACUACCAGGUUGAUAGGCCGGCGGUGUAAGCACAGCAAUGUGUUCAGCUUACCGGUACUAAUCGGACGAUUGGCUUAGCCAC